rnacentral:lncRNA from 1 species
UAGGAAAGUUUGAGUUUCUGGUUGGAGCCUUCAACGGCUCUGAACGGUUGAUUGGAAAGGUCUCUCUCCUGGAUAACAACAAUUCAAUGUGCCUUGACAUUUUAAUAGCCUGCCGUCCUGGUGAACACAAUCGAGCAAGGCAGUGAAGCAAAAAUCAUUAGGUGGCUGGACUUAGACACAUCACGCUCCAGUUUGGGUUCCAAGGUGCUUCUCUCUGGAUUUUCACCUGCCUUGCCAAAAAUGAUUGAUUACGCUGGGCCAACUGGG